GCAUUUAUUUUAUUAAUUAAUUUUCGUAUUUUUAAUUUAUAUAUUUUUAAAAAUUGUUUUUUUUUCACUUUUUUGCAUUUUAUUCAUAAGAAUAGUUAAAAAUUAUUAAAAUAAAAAAAUAUCAAAAGUGUCCAGGUUCAAUGUAUUUUGUCAAUUUUUCAGAUCUGGUUUCUGAUUGGUUGUGUUUUAUCACAAUUAAUUCAUUUC
rnacentral:lncRNA from 1 species